rnacentral:rRNA from 1 species
ACGGGUGAGUAAUGUCUGGGGAUCUGCCCGAUAGAGGGGGAUAACCACUGGAAACGGUGGCUAAUACCGCAUAACGUCGCAAGACCAAAGAGGGGGACCUUCGGGCCUCUCACUAUCGGAUGAACCCAGAUGGGAUUAGCUAGUAGGCGGGGUAAUGGCCCACCUAGGCGACGAUCCCUAGCUGGUCUGAGAGGAUGACCAGCCACACUGGAACUGAGACACGGUCCAGACUCCUACGGGAGGCAGCAGUGGGGAAUAUUGCACAAUGGGCGCAAGCCUGAUGCAGCCAUGCCGCGUGUAUGAAGAAGGCCUUCGGGUUGUAAAGUACUUUCAGCGGGGAGGAAGGCGAUGCGGUUAAUAACCCUGUCGAUUGACGUUACCCGCAGAAGAAGCACCGGCUAACUCCGUGCCAGCAGCCGCGGUAAUACGGAGGGUGCAAGCGUUAAUCGGAAUUACUGGGCGUAAAGCGCACGCAGGCGGUCUGUUAAGUCAGAUGUGAAAUCCCCGGGCUUAACCUGGGAACUGCAUUUGAAACUGGCAGGCUUGAGUCUUGUAGAGGGGGGUAGAAUUCCAGGUGUAGC